CUUCAGGAUUUCAUGUCACUAUUAGAUACAUGAAACCAGAAUUUCUGUGAGGAUACCAGGGGGCGAGGAGAGUACUGAUAUCUUUGUAAAGAGCUCUUCACAAUCAAUUCUGUUGGAGGAUUUGUGUUUUCUCCCUGCUGCUCUACUUGUGGCUGUAUGUGCUGCAGUAGCUCAUCACAGACUGAGGUAAGAGUUCUUACUUUUUCAAGUUUUAGUACUCUGUAAUUCCUGCUGUUUGAGUUUUGCUGCGAGCAUCCUUUUAGACAAGAUCAUGUGAAGAGACCACCUUUUAGGUAUCAUCGUAAUGGGAACUGUCUCAAGUUUGUUUAGGAAGCUCCAGAUGUGGCUGUAUCAAUGUUUCUGUUUAAAUCAUUGCUGUGCUUUUGAAGGGAGCUGCUCAUGAGCCUCUCUCUGGUUGGGUUUGUAUCGCAGGGUGGGUUUGUAUUGGGCAGCCUAAAUGCCCUCAGAUGAAAUGAAACUGGAAGUUGUACUUUAAUGAAUCUGACACUGUCAAACUGCUAAUUGCUGUGCAGACCAUGGGACUGGACUAGGGCUGGGCUGCAGGAACUCCCCUGAAAUACUCAGUGCAGAAAUGUGUUCCUUGGCCCCAAGGGUUUGUUCUGUCAUCUCUGCCAUUCUCCCACAGCCUUUUCCCUUCCGUUGCUUUCUUCCUAAAUGGAGAGUAAAUAUUGAAUCUCUUCCAACAAAUAGCACUUCUGUAACUAAGGAUUAUUUGUUGGGGGAGAGAGCCCAAGGACCCACAAAACUGAGGUUGGUGCUGGCUGUAUGAAAUUGCAGCUAGUUCUUUUGGGUGUAUUAUAUUGAUUUUUGCAAAAAAGGGAAAAAGCAGACUGUACCCUGGAAAAUGAAAAGCUAACAAGAGGUUUUGAUGAUAAGAACCAACAAGGAAAAAACACUCCACUUCCAAAUUUUUGUCUUUUCACUGAAUAAUAUAAUUUAUUACAUAAGUAAAAUACCAACAGCAACUGUACUUUUAAUUCGUCAUUUCACUUUUUUCCAUAAUGAUCACUUAUAUAACAACUUCAUCUCCUGGUAAUGUUAGGGUAGGAGUCAGAGUAAGACACUAAACCCACAGCUGCACUCUUCAGCUGUUGCUUCUGUGUCCAUGUACCUGGAAUGAAUCUUGACUUAACAUCUGUCUCAUCAACAUUUUAUACCUGUAACAGCGAGGCCCUUGUAUAACAAGGAAUGAUCUGCUCCUCAUGGUGGUGUAAUCAAAGAGAGUUUAUUUCAAAAUUCCCACUCCUUAUAUCCCUGAAUACCAUGUGACUUCUUCAGCCAAUAGAGUUAUAUGUGACCGUGCAUGUUCUCUUGGGCCCAUUGCCCUGGCACAUCCCUCCUGCCUUCAGACACGCCUCCCACAUAUACCUUAAGUUCCCACAUUGUGCAAUUUUAAUAUACAUAACCUGUAUAGUAUAAAUACAGUUAAUUUGGAGAUGACUGUGGUACUCUGUACACAGAAUUCAAUGCCUACAAUUCCAAAGUUGAAGUGUAGCAAUGCUGAAGUCACGUGCAUUCAGUAAGAUUGUUUUUGCAACACUUCUGGAAAAAUCUCAGUUGAAGUCAAUAUUAAUAAAAUACAAAAAUAUAUAUCAGCAGAAGAUCAAUACAUCUGCA